rfam:Moniliophthora roreri strain MCA 2952 kmer90.96511, whole genome shotgun sequence.
CCUUUGUUCACGAUGAAACCAACUGCGGAUGAAAAGAGUCAAAGACUCGGAAUCCGAGAGCGCAUAAAACCCAUGUGGAUUCCUCCGCUGCCUUCCUUCUGACCCUUUUC